CUCAAACCAUCUGUCUGCCACUUUCUAAGGAGUUUUACUUCCACCCAGUCUAUCAAACAAGAAAGAUGAGCAGAGUUCCAAAUCCUCUGAGGAUUACAUCACUGCAAAUGAUGAGGCUUUGGGAAGACUGCCUGCCCUCAUCCCCUAAAAUCUGUCUUGGGAGGAUUUUCGUAAUCUCUCUGAAAUCCUGGAUUUCCAGAACUCUUCACGGAACUCA
rnacentral:lncRNA from 1 species